AACGGGUGAGUAACACGUGAGCAACCUACCUUUCAGUGGGGGACGAACAUUUGGAAACGAAUGCUAAUACCGCAUAAGACCACAGUGUCGCAUGGCACAGGGGUCAAAGGAUUUAUCCGCUGAAAGAAUGGGCUCGCGUCCGAUUAGCUAGAUGGUGAGGUAACGGCCCACCAUGGCGACGAUCGGUAGCCGGACUGAGAGGUUGAACGGCCACAUUGGGACUGAGACACGGCCCAGACUCCUACGGGAGGCAGCAUG
rnacentral:rRNA from 1 species